rnacentral:rRNA from 1 species
AGGUGAAGCUACUAAGAGCGUAGGGUGAAUGCCUGGGCAUCAGAAGCCGACGAAGGACGUGGCACACUGCGAAAAGCCUCGGGGAGCCGUGUGCAGGCGAAGAACCGGGGAUAUCCGAAUGGGGAAACCCGCUUGGGUGCGACCCAAGCACCGUCAGGGGAACACAUAGCCUGACGGGGGGAACGCGGGGAACUGAAACAUCUUAGUACCCGCAGGAGCAGAGAAUAUUCCCUGAGUAGUGGCGAGCGAAAGGGGAGGAGCCCAAACCGCACGUGGCUAAGUGGUCUGCGGACCUAAGCCACGGCGGGGUUGGAGGGUCCUGGCGGGGACGACCGCAGUCGUUCCGGGGAGUAAGAAAAGAGGCGGUUAGGGGAAGCGUACUGGAAAGGCGCGCCAGAGAGGGUGAGAGCCCCGUAGCCGAAAACGGCCUGACUCCCGCCGGGAAACCUGAGUACCACGGGGCACGCUAAUCCCGUGGGAAGCAGGGCAGCCCACUGUCCAAGGCUAAAUACUUCUGAUGACCGAUAGCGAACCAGUACCGUGAGGGAAAGGUGAAAAGAACCCCGGCGAGGGGAGUGAAAGAGAACCUGAAACCCUGCGCUUACAAGCAGUCGGAGGGCGAUGACCGCAAGGUCCCCCGCCUGACGGCGUGCCUUUUGGAGAAUGAGCCAGCGAGUUACUGUGUGUGGCGAGGUUAAGGCAGAGACAGCCGAAGCCGUAGGGAAACCGAGUCCGAAGAGGGCGCGAGUCGCACGGAGUAGACACGAAACCAGGUGAGCUACCCAUGGUCAGGCUGAAGCGGGGUUAACCCCCCGUGGAGGGCCGAACCUUUCUCUGUUGCAAAAGGGUGGGAUGAACUGUGGGUAGAGGUAAUAUGCCAAACGAACCUGGAGAUAGCUUGUUCUCCCCGAAAUAGCUUUAGGGCUAGCCUCGCGUAUGAGUGUGGGAGGUAGAGCACUGGAUGGACUCGGGGGCGCGAGCCUACCAACUCCAACCAAACUCCGAAUGCCCAGACUAAAGAGCGCGGGAGUCGGACUACGAAUGAUGAGAUCCGUAGUCAAGAGGGAAAGAGCCCAGACCAUCGGCUAAGGUCCCGAAGUGUCAGCUAAGUGGGAAACGAGGUUAGAGAGCGGAGACAGCCAGGAGGUUGGCUUAGAAGCAGCCACCCUUUAAAGAGUGCGUAAUAGCUCACUGGUCAAGGUCUCUGGCACGGAAAAUAUAACGGGGCUCAAGCUGACCACCGAAGCCAUGGACGGUUGAGGGAACUCAACCGUGGUAGGGGAGCGUUCUGCGGGCAUAGAAGCCGUACCGGAAGGAGCGGUGGAGCGCGCAGAAGUGAGAAUGCUGGCAUGAGUAGCGAGAAACAUGUGAGAACCAUGUUCGCCGCAAGCCCAAGGGUUCCGACGGAAGGUCAAUCCGCGUCGGGUUAGUCGGGCCUAAGCCGAGGCCGGAAGGCGUAGGCGAUGGACAUCCGGUUAAUAUUCCGGAACCAUCUGGGGGGAGCGAAGGGGGGACGCAGUGGGGUACGUGAGCCGGGAAGUGGAACCCCGGUGCCAAGCGUGUAGAACGGAGAAGGGACCAGGGAAAUCCGGGCCUGGAGUUCGAGGCGUGAAGGCGGGCCUAGGGGCCAGAAGUCACGGAGCCGCGCUGCCCAGAAAAGCCUCUAAGCGGAGAAGCCCAGAUGCCCGUACCGCAAACCGACACAGGUGGGCUGGUAGAGCAUACUAAGGCGAACGGGAGAACCCUCGUUAAGGAACUAGGCAAACUAACCCCGUAACUUCGGGAGAAGGGGUGCCCUCUUAGGUGAAGGCCGGACGGCUGGAGCGUGAGGGGGCCGCAGAGAAAAGGCUCUAGCGACUGGUUACCAAAACCACAGGUCUCUGCUAACUCGGAAGAGGAUGUAUAGGGGCUGACACCUGCCCAGUGCCGGAAGGUUAAGGGGAGCGGUUAGGGGCAACCCAAAGCUGCGAACCGAAGCCCCGGUGAACGGCGGCCGUAACUAUAACGGUCCUAAGGUAGCGAAAUUCCUUGUCGGGUAAGUUCCGACCCGCACGAAUGGUGUAACGACUAGAGCACUGUCUCAACGAGGGACCCGGCGAAAUUGAACACGCGGUAAAGAUGCCGUGUACCCGCAGCAGGACAAAAAGACCCCGUGGAGCUUUACUGCACCUUGACACUGGGUUAGGGUUUAGUCCGUGUAGGAUAGGUGGGAGGCAGAGAAGCCGGGACGCCAGUCUCGGUGGAGCCGCUGGUGAAAUACCACCCUGGCUACAUCUUGGCUCUAACCCUGGACCGCAAACCGGCCAGGGGACCCUGUCAGGCGGGCAGUUUGACUGGGGUGGUCGCCUCCCAAAGGAUAACGGAGGCGCCCAAAGGUUCCCUCAGGUGGAAUGGAAACCCACCGCAGAGUGUAAAGGCACAAGGGAGCUUGAC